rnacentral:rRNA from 1 species
UUCGGUUGAUCCUGCCGAAGGCUACUGCUAUUGGAGUUCGAUUAAGCCAUGCGAGUCUAAGGGAUCUUCGGAUCCCUGGCGUAAUGCUCAGUAACACGUGGAUAAUCUACCCUCAGGUGGGGCAUAAACCCGGGAAACUGGGGCCAAUUCCCCAUAGAUACAGAUGGCUGGAAUGCUUCUGUAUUCAAAGCUCCGGCGCCUGAGGAUGGGUCUGCGGCCUAUCAGGUUGUAGUCAGGGUCAAGACCUGACUAGCCAGCGACGGGUAUGGGGUGUGAGAGCACUUGCCCAGAGAUGGUUUCUGAGACACGAAACCAGGCCCUACGGGGCGCAGCAGGCGCGAAAACUUCGCAAUGCGGGAAACCGUGACGAGGGAACUCCAAGUGUCUAUGCAUUGCAUAGACUGUUUUUUAGCCUAAAUAGCUAUUAGAGUAAGGGGUGGGCAAGACCGGUGCCAGCCGCCGCGGUAACACCGGCACCUCGAGUGGUAGCCACUAUUAUUGGGCCUAAAGCGUUCGUAGCCGGUUUGGUAAAUUCUUGGGUAAAUCGUACCGCUUAACGGUGCGGAUUCCGGGGACACUACCAGACUUGAGACCGGGGGAGAUCAGAGGUACUUGCGGGGGAGCGGUGAAAUGUUGUAAUCCCGCAGGGACCACCAGUGGCGAAGGCGUCUGAUCAGAACGGCUCUGACGGUGAGGAACGAAACCCUGGGGCGCAAACGGGAUUAGAUACCCCGGUAGUCCAGGGCGUAAACGCUGCUGACUUGGUGUUGGGGAUCCUACGAGGAUGUCCAGUGCUGGCGCGAAGGUAUUAAGUCAGCCGCCUGGGGAGUACGGUCGCAAGACUGAAACUUAAAGGAAUUGGCGGGGGAGCACUGCAACGUGUGGAGCGUGCGGUUUAAUUGGAGUCAACGCCGG